rnacentral:lncRNA from 1 species
CUCCCACGAGCUCCUACCAGGCCAGUGCCAGAAACACUCAUCUACUCCCUUAUGGAAGAUCACUGAGUCAUGAGAUCUGUGGUUUGUCUGAUUCUCCACUUCCCGAAGCCAGCCAAGGCUAACCGACCUGGGAUUCUGAGAGACUGUCCAGAGAAACGAGGAACCAUCGAGCAAAGGGGACAUCUGGAGUGGCAGAGAAACAAGGAACCAUCAAGC